rnacentral:rRNA from 1 species
AGAGUUUGAUCCUGGCUCAGUACGAACGCUGGCGGCGUGCCUAACACAUGCAAGUCGAACGGUCCGAGAAAUUUUUUAGUAAUAGUUUACUAGGACUAAAAUAUUUCAAGGAUAGUGGCGGAUGGGUGAGUAACACGUGGAUAAUCUGCCUGUAACACUGGGAUAACAUCGCGAAAGCGGUGCUAAUACCAGAUAGCUUCUUUGGUGCAUAUGUAUUAAAGAAGAAAGCUCCGGCGGUUACAGAUGAGUCCGCGGCUGAUUAGCUAGUUGGUGAGAUAAGAGCUCACCAAGGCGAUGAUCAGUAGCCGGCCUGAGAGGGUGUACGGCCACACUGGGACUGAGACACGGCCCAGACUCCUACGGGAGGCAGCAGUGGGGAAUUUUCCGCAAUGGGCGCAAGCCUGACGGAGCGACGCCGCGUGAGUGAAGAAGGCCUUCGGGUUGUAAAGCUCUGUCCUAUGGGAAGAAGGAAGUGACGGUACCAUAGGAGGAAGCCACGGCUAACUACGUGCCAGCAGCCGCGGUAACACGUAGGUGGCAAGCGUUGUCCGGAAUUACUGGGCGUAAAGGGCGCGCAGGCGGAUAUUUAAGUCAGAUCUGUAAUCUGUAGGCUUAACCAACAGCUCGGGUCUGAAACUGGCUAUCUUGAGGAUAGGAGAGGACAGUAGAAUUCCUAGUGUAGCGGUGAAAUGCGUAGAUAUUAGGAGGAAUACCAGUGGCGAAGGCGGCUGUCUGGCCUAUCACUGACGCUGAGGUGCGAAAGCACGGGUAGCAAACAGGAUUAGAUACCCUGGGUAGUCCGUGCCGUAAACGAUGGGUACUAGGUGUGGGAGGUAUCGACCCCUUCUGUGCCGGAGUUAACGCAAUAAGUACCCCGCCUGGGGACUACGGCCGCAAGGCUAAAACUCAAAUGAAUUGACGG